rnacentral:rRNA from 1 species
UCGAGCGGAAACGAUGAUAGCUUGCUAUCAGGCGUCGAGCGGCGGACGGGUGAGUAAUACUUAGGAAUCUACCUAGUAGUGGGGGAUAGCACGGGGAAACUCGUAUUAAUACCGCAUACGACCUACGGGAGAAAGGGGGCAGUUUACUGCUCUCGCUAUUAGAUGAGCCUAAGUCGGAUUAGCUAGAUGGUGGGGUAAAGGCCUACCAUGGCGACGAUCUGUAGCUGGUCUGAGAGGAUGAUCAGCCACACCGGGACUGAGACACGGCCCGGACUCCUACGGGAGGCAGCAGUGGGGAAUAUUGGACAAUGGGGGAAACCCUGAUCCAGCCAUGCCGCGUGUGUGAAGAAGGCCUUUUGGUUGUAAAGCACUUUAAGCAGUGAAGAAGACUCCUCGGUUAAUACCCGUGGACGAUGACAUUAGCUGCAGAAUAAGCACCGGCUAACUCUGUGCCAGCAGCCGCGGUAAUACAGAGGGUGCAAGCGUUAAUCGGAAUUACUGGGCGUAAAGGGAGCGUAGGUGGCUCGAUAAGUCAGAUGUGAAAUCCCCGGGCUCAACCUGGGAACUGCAUCUGAUACUGUUGAGCU